rnacentral:rRNA from 1 species
ACCGCAUAAGCGCACAGUGUCGCAUGACACAGUGUGAAAAGUUUUUCGGUACAAGAUGGACCCGCGUCUGAUUAGCUAGUUGGUGAGGUAACGGCUCACCAAGGCGACGAUCAGUAGCCGACCUGAGAGGGUGACCGGCCACAUUGGGACUGAGACACGGCCCAAACUCCUACGGGAGGCAGCAGUGGGGAAUAUUGCACAAUGGGCGAAAGCCUGAUGCAGCGACGCCGCGUGAGCGAAGAAGUAUUUCGGUAUGUAAAGCUCUAUCAGCAGGGAAGAUAAUGACGGUACCUGACUAAGAAGCACCGGCUAAAUACGUGCCAGCAGCCGCGGUAAUACGUAUGGUGCAAGCGUUAUCCGGAUUUACUGGGUGUAAAGGGAGCGUAGGCGGUUUUACAAGUCUGAUGUGAAAGCCCGGGGCUCAACUCCGGUAUUGCAUUGGAAACUGUAGAACUAGAGUGUCGGAGGGGUAAGUGGAAUUCCUAGUGUAGCGGUGAAAUGCGUAGAUAUUAGGAGGAACACCAGUGGCGAAGGCGGCUUACUGGACGAUUACUGACGCUGAGGCUCGAAAGCGUGGGGA